UAGAGUUUGAUCCUGGCUCAGAUUGAACGCUGGCGGCAGGCCUAACACAUGCAAGUCGAGCGGUAACACAGAGGAGCUUGCUCCUUGGGUGACGAGCGGCGGACGGGUGAGUAAUGCCUGGGGAUCUGCCCGAUAGAGGGGGAUAACUACGGGAAACUGUAGCUAAUACCGCAUAAUGUCUACGGACCAAAGUGGGGGCUCUUCGGACCUCAUGCUAUCGGAUGAACCCAGGUGGGAUUAGCUAGUUGGUGAGGUAAUGGCUCACCAAGGCGACGAUCUCUAACUGGUUUGAGAGAAUGACCAGUCACACUGGAACUGAGACACGGUCCAGACUCCUACGGGAGGCAGCAGUGGGGAAUAUUGCACAAUGGGCGCAAGCCUGAUGCAGCCAUGCCGCGUGUGUGAAGAAGGCCUUCGGGUUGUAAAGCACUUUCAGCGGGGAGGAAGGGUCACUAGUUAAUACCUAGUGGCAUUGACGUUACUCGCAGAAGAAGCACCGGCUAACUCCGUGCCAGCAGCCGCGGUAAUACGGAGGGUGCAAGCGUUAAUCGGAAUUACUGGGCGUAAAGCGCACGCAGGCGGUUUGUUAAGUCAGAUGUGAAAUCCCCGAGCUCAACUUGGGAACUGCAUUUGAAACUGGCAAGCUAGAGUCUUGUAGAGGGGGGUAGAAUUCCAGGUGUAGCGGUGAAAUGCGUAGAGAUCUGGAGGAAUACCGGUGGCGAAGGCGGCCCCCUGGACAAAGACUGACGCUCAGGUGCGAAAGCGUGGGGAGCAAACAGGA
rnacentral:rRNA from 1 species